CCAAUUCUUUCCGCUUCGCUUCCUUGCUUGUAGACGCUUUCGCCGUACUGGAUUUUGUAGCCUGAUUAAUCAAUAACUAAACAGCUGUCGGAGCAUUCGCCGUCAAUAUCAUUUUGUGCUGCUACUCGGCAAACCAGACGGACGUGUUUGCACAUAAACUUUGUUGAAUCAAUACAGCUACAUGCGAAAGCAUCAAUACAGAUGUACAUGAUGAGCCAAAACAAAUGACCACCGGCUUAAUGGUUUGUUUGUCCGUCUUUGGAACGAAAAACAUCACUGAUUCUGGAUACGAGGGAUCCGGCAGUUUUUUGAUACAUCGAAAGAUACCCAGAUCGAGUAGAUAUGCUACUCACGCUGAUGGAAUUUUGGUCCAGACUUCACUCACUGAAUGAGAACAUCAGCGAACUGCUGCAUGAACUGCGCCGUGAAAAUGCCCGGAUGGCUGCUGAGGCUGCCGCCGUGGAUGCUGCCGCUGCGAAUGGGGGCCCCAUUGUAGAAUUCCCUCCGGAUACCGACGACAAGCCGGAGGAAAAGCACCAGCAGGCGGAGGAGGACGACACAGAGGAGGGCGCCACCGGCGGCCAGCCCCGCUAGCCAGGGCAGCUGCAGCCACGUGGGAAAGGCGAUUUGUGCGCAGCGACUUCUUGGCCAUCCACCUAACGGCAACACAGCAAGGCAGCUCACAGGAAGAGUCGAGCUAUUUUAAUUUUGAAAAUGGAUUAUGCAAUGUUGACUUUUGUUACUCAUUGUUAGAGAAAUAAAUAUUUGAGUU